rnacentral:rRNA from 1 species
GGGGAGCNUACAUGCAAGUCGAGGGGCAGCGGGGAGGUAGCAAUACUUCCGCCGGCGACCGGCGCACGGGUGAGUAACACGUAUGGAACCUGCCCGUAGCAGGGGGGAUAAGCGGAAGAAAUUCCGUCUAAUACCGCGUAAUAACUCCGAGAGGCAUCUCAUGGGGUUUAAAGGGUGACACCGGCUACGGAUGGCCAUGCGGCGCAUUAGCUAGUUGGCGGGGUAACGGCCCACCAAGGCGACGAUGCGUAGGGGUUCUGAGAGGAAGGUCCCCCACACUGGUACUGAGACACGGACCAGACUCCUACGGGAGGCAGCAGUGAGGAAUAUUGGUCAGUGGGCGCGAGCCUGAACCAGCCAAGUCGCGUGAGGGAAGACGGUCCUAUGGAUUGUAAACCUCUUUUGUCGGGGAGCAAAAGACGCCACGUGUGGCGUUCCGAGAGUACCCGAAGAAAAAGCAUCGGCUAACUCCGUGCCAGCAGCCGCGGUAAUACGGAGGAUGCGAGCGUUAUCCGGAUUUAUUGGGUUUAAAGGGUGCGCAGGCGGAAGAUCAGGUCAGCGGUAAAAUUGAGAGGCUCAACCUCUUCGAGCCGUUGAAACUGGUUUUCUUGAGUGAGCGAGAAGUAUGCGGAAUGCGUGGUGUAGCGGUGAAAUGCAUAGAUAUCACGCAGAACUCCGAUUGCGAAGGCAGCAUACCGGCGCUCAACUGACGCUCAUGCACGAAAGUGUGGGUAUCGAACAGGAUUAGAU